AGUGAACGCUGGCGGUAGGCCUAACACAUGCAAGUCGAACGGCAGCACAGUAAGAGCUUGCUCUUACGGGUGGCGAGUGGCGGACGGGUGAGGAAUACAUCGGAAUCUACUUUUUCGUGGGGGAUAACGUAGGGAAACUUACGCUAAUACCGCAUACGACCUACGGGUGAAAGCAGGGGAUCUUCGGACCUUGCGCGAUUGAAUGAGCCGAUGUCGGAUUAGCUAGUUGGCGGGGUAAAGGCCCACCAAGGCGACGAUCCGUAGCUGGUCUGAGAGGAUGGUCAGCCACACUGGAACUGAGACACGGUCCAGACUCCUACGUGAGGCAGCAGUGGGGAAUAUUGGACACAGGGCGCAAGCCUGAUCCAGCCAUACCGCGUGGGUGAAGAAGGGCCUCGGGUUGUAAAGCCCUUUUGUUGGGAUAGAAAAGCAGCAGGUUAAUACCCCGCUGUUCUGACGGUACCGAAAGAAUAAGCACCGGCUAACUUCGU
rnacentral:rRNA from 1 species